UCCUGGCUCAGAUUGAACGCUGGCGGCAGGCCUAACACAUGCAAGUCGAGCGGUAGAGAGGUGCUUGCAUCUCUUGAGAGCGGCGGACGGGUGAGUAAUGCCUAGGAAUCUGCCUAGUGGUGGGGGGAGUAACGUUCGGAAACGGACGCUAAUACCGCAUACGUCCUACGGGAGAAAGCGGGGGGAUCUUCGGACCUCGCGCCAUUAGAUGAGCCUAGGUCGGAUUAGCUAGUUGGUGAGGUAAUGGCUCACCAAGGCGACGAUCCGUAACUGGUCUGAGAGGAUGAUCAGUCACACUGGAACUGAGACACGGUCCAGACUCCUACGGGAGGCAGCAGUGGGGAAUAUUGGACAAUGGGCGAAAGCCUGAUCCAGCCAUGCCGCGUGUGUGAAGAAGGUCUUCGGAUUGUAAAGCACUUUAAGUUGGGAGGAAGGGUAGUAACCUAAUACGUUGCUACUUUGACGUUACCGACAGAAUAAGCACCGGCUAACUUCGUG
rnacentral:rRNA from 1 species